GUGUUCACUUUGGCAGCACAUAUUCUAAAAAUUGGAAGGACACAGAGAAAAUUAGCAUGACCCCUGAGUGAGGAUGACAUGCAAAUUAAAAAAUAUGCUGGUGACCUAG